rnacentral:rRNA from 1 species
UACGUAGGGUCCGAGCGUUGUCCGGAAUUAUUGGGCGUAAAGGGCUCGUAGGCGGUCCGUCACGUCGGGAGUGAAAACUCAGGGCUCAACCCUGAGCGUGCUUCCGAUACGGGCGGACUAGAGGUAUGCAGGGGAGAACGGAAUUCCCGGUGUAGCGGUGAAAUGCGCAGAGAUCGGGAGGAACACCCGUAGCGAAGGCGGCGCUCUGGGCCGGUACUGACGCUGAGGAGCGAAAGCGUGGGGAGCAAACAGG